AGCGAACGCUGGCGGCAGGCCUAACACAUGCAAGUCGAGCGGCCGUAGCAAUACGGCAGCGGCAGACGGGAGAGUAACACGUGGGAACGUGCCCUUUGGUUCGGAAUAACGCAGGGAAACUUGCGCUAAUACCGAAUAAGCCCUUACGGGGAAAGACUUAUCGCCAUUGGAGCGGCCCGCGUCUGAUUAGCUAGUUGGUGGGGUAACGGCUCACCAAGGCGACGAUCAGUAGCNGGUCUGAGAGGAUGAUCAGCCUCACUGGGACUGAGACACGGCCCAGACUCCUACGGGAGGGCAGCAGUGGGGAAGUAUUGGACAAUGGGCGCAAGCCUGAUCCAGCCAUGCCGCGUGGAUGAUGAAGGCCUUAGGG
rnacentral:rRNA from 1 species